rnacentral:rRNA from 1 species
UACAGAGGGUGCGAGCGUUAAUCGGAAUUACUGGGCGUAAAGGGCGCGUAGGCGGUUUAUCAAGUGAGAUGUGAAAUCCCCGGGCUUAACCUGGGAACUGCAUCUUAAACUGAUAGGCUGGAGUACUGUAGAGGACAGUGGAAUUUCCGGUGUAGCGGUGAAAUGCGUAGAGAUCGGAAGGAACAUCAGUGGCGAAGGCGACUGUCUGGACAGAUACUGACGCUGAGGCGCGAAAGCGUGGGGAGCAAACAGG